GAUGAAGAACGCAGUGAAAUGCGAUACGUAAUGUGAAUUGCAGAAUUCAGUGAAUCAUCGAGUCUUUGAACGCACAUUGCGCCCCCUGGUAUUCCGGGGGGCAUGCCUGUCCGAGCGUCAUUGCUGCCCUCAAGCCCGGCUUGUGUGUUGGGCCCCGUCCUCCGAUUCCGGGGGACGGGCCCGAAAGGCAGCGGCGGCACCGCGUCCGGUCCUCGAGCGUAUGGGGCUUUGUCACCCGCUCUGUAGGCCCGGCCGGCGCUUGCCGAUCAACCCAAAUUUUUAUCCAGGUUGACCUCGGAUCAGGUAGGGAUACCCGCUGAACUUAAGCAUAUCAAUAAGCGGAGGA
rnacentral:misc_RNA from 1 species